rnacentral:rRNA from 1 species
CAGACCUCUAAUCGGAAAAGACUACCCGCUGANUU